GAUGAACGCUAGCGGCAGGCUUAAUACAUGCAAGUCGAGGGGUCAGCAAUGACACCGGCGGACGGGUGCGUAACGCGUAUGCAACCUACCUACAUCAGGGGGAUAGCCCUAGGAAACUGGGAUUAACACCGCAUAAUAGUAUUAAUGGCAUCAUUGAUAUUUGAAAUAUUUAUAGGAUGUAGAUGGGCAUGCGUAAGAUUAGCUAGUUGGUAAGGUAACGGCUUACCAAGGCUACGAUCUUUAGGGGCUCUGAGAGGAGUAUCCCCCACACUGGCACUGAGAUACGGGCCAGACUCCUACGGGAGGCAGCAGUAGGGAAUAUUGGGCAAUGGAGGCAACUCUGACCCAGCCAUGCCGCGUGCAGGAAGACGGCCCUCUGGGUUGUAAACUGCUUUUGAAUGGGAAGAAUGUGAUGUUUGCGAGCAUUAAUGACGGUACCAUUAGAAUAAGCCACGGCUAACUACGUGCCAGCCGCCGCCGUAAAAC
rnacentral:rRNA from 1 species